rnacentral:misc_RNA from 1 species
GUAGGUGAAUAUUCGGUUAAUCAAAAUCGUAAAUGUAGGCAAGCAAACAACGUUGAACUUUACAUGAAUCAAUUUAACUAAAAUUAGGAUAAUAUAUAGUUAUAUACUAGAAAACAGUACAAAACGAUGGCCAUUAAAAAGUUGAAAGGUAAGAGGGCUUUACUUCGAAACAAGAGUAAUCGCAGGAAACAUCCACCUUUCUGAAUCGCCGGUGAGGAUAGGAAAUUGUCGAUGAUGAUCUUCCAAAAAUGGAGGAACUGGAGCUGGAAAUUAGUAGAGACGACGAGGGAAGUGGAACGCUUCCCAUUUUCU